rnacentral:rRNA from 1 species
AAUAUUGGACAAUGGGGGCAACCCUGAUCCAGCAAGGCCGCGUGUGUGAAGAAGGUCUUCGGAUGGUAAAGCACUCUAAGUUGGGGGGAAGGGAUUUGGGCUAAUACCCUGAAGUUUUGACUUUACAAACAGAAUAAGCACCGGCUAACCAUGUGCCAGCAGCCGCGGUAAUACGAAGGGUGCAAGCGUUAAUGGGAAUUACUGGGCGUAAAGCGCGGGUAGGUGGUUCGUUAAGUUGGAAGUGAAAGCCCCGGGCUUAACCUGGGAAUUGCUUUCAAAACUGACGAGCUAGAGUACGGUAGAGGGUAGUGGAAUUUCCUGUGUAGCGGUGAAAUGCGUAGAUAUAGGAAGGAACAUCAGUGGCGAAGGCGACUACCUGGACUGAUACUGACACUGAGGUGCGAAAGCGUGGGGAGCAAAC